UACGUAGGGGGCUAGCGUUGUCCGGAAUCAUUGGGCGUAAAGAGCGUGUAGGCGGCUCGGUAAGUCCGCUGUGAAAGUCCAGGGCUCAACCCUGGAAUGCCGGUGGAAACUGUCGAGCUAGAGUCCGGAAGAGGUGAGUGGAAUUCCUGGUGUAGCGGUGAAAUGCGCAGAUAUCAGGAGGAACACCGGUGGUGUAAACGGCUUUCUGGACCGUAACUGACGCUGAGACACGAAAGCGUGGGGAGCAAACAGG
rnacentral:rRNA from 1 species